rnacentral:rRNA from 1 species
UACGUAGGGUGCGAGCGUUAAUCGGAAUUACUGGGCGUAAAGCGUGCGCAGGCGGUUUUGUAAGCCAGAUGUGAAAGCCCCGGGCUUAACCUGGGAAUGGCAUUUGGGACUGCAAGGCUGGAGUGUGGCAGAGGAGACUGGAAUUCCUGGUGUAGCAGUGAAAUGCGUAGAUAUCAAGAGGAACACCUGAGGUGAAGACGGGUUGCUGGGCCAACACUGACGCUGAGGCGCGAAAGCCAGGGGAGCAAACGGG